UCGGGCGUAGUGUCCGGCACACCUCCAUUUCAUGGUAAAAGUCUCUUUAUUACGGCGAGCGGAUAUUCCGGGUUCGACUCCCGGCGCCUGAA